GGAUUGUAGCUCAGUGGUAGAGCACUUGUCUAGCAUGUGUGAGGCCCUGGGUUCAAUCCUCAGUACCA
rnacentral:tRNA from 1 species